AGUCGAACGAUGAAGCUUCUAGCUUGCUAGAAGUGGAUUAGUGGCGCACGGGUGAGUAAGGUAUAGUUAAUCUGCCCUACACAAGAGGACAACAGUUGGAAACGACUGCUAAUACUCUAUACUCCUGCUUAACACAAGUUGAGUAGGGAAAGUUUUUCGGUGUAGGAUGAGACUAUAUAGUAUCAGCUAGUUGGUAAGGUAAUGGCUUACCAAGGCUAUGACGCUUAACUGGUCUGAGAGGAUGAUCAGUCACACUGGAACUGAGACACGGUCCAGACUCCUACGGGAGGCAGCAGUAGGGAAUAUUGCGCAAUGGGGGAAACCCUGACGCAGCAACGCCGCGUGGAGGAUGACACUUUUCGGAGCGUAAACUCCUUUUCUUAGGGAAGAAUUCUGACGGUACCUAAGGAAUAAGCACCGGCUAACUCCGUGCCAGCAGCCGCGGUAAUACGGAGGGUGCAAGCGUUACUCGGAAUCACUGGGCGUAAAGGGCGCGUAGGCGGAUUAUCAAGUCUCUUGUGAAAUCUAAUGGCUUAACCAUUAAACUGCUUGGGAAACUGAUAGUCUAGAGUGAGGGAGAGGCAGAUGGAAUUGGUGGUGUAGGGGUAAAAUCCGUAGAUAUCACCAAGAAUACCCANUGCGAAGGCGAUCUGCUGGAACUCAACUGACGCUAAGGCGCGAAAGCGUGGGGAGCAAACAGGAUUAGAUACCCUGGUAGUCCACGCCCUAAACGAUGUACACUAGUUGUUGGGAUGCUAGUCAUCUCAGUAAUGCAGCUAACGCAUUAAGUGUACCGCCUGGGGAGUACGGUCGCAAGAUUAAAACUCAAAGGAAUAGACGGGGACCCGCACAAGCGGUGGAGCAUGUGGUUUAAUUCGAAGAUACGCGAAGAACCUUACCUGGGCUUGAUAUCCUAAGAACCUUAUAGAGAUAUGAGGGUGCUAGCUUGCUAGAACUUAGAGACAGGUGCUGCACGGCUGUCGUCAGCUCGUGUCGUGAGAUGUUGGGUUAAGUCCCGCAACGAGCGCAACCCACGUAUUUAGUUGCUAACGGUUCGGCCGAGCACUCUAAAUAGACUGCCUUCGUAAGGAGGAGGAAGGUGUGGACGACGUCAAGUCAUCAUGGCCCUUAUGCCCAGGGCGACACACGUGCUACAAUGGCAUAUACAAUGAGACGCAAUACCGCGAGGUGGAGCAAAUCUAUAAAAUAUGUCCCAGUUCGGAUUGUUCUCUGCAACUCGAGAGCAUGAAGCCGGAAUCGCUAGUAAUCGUAGAUCAGCCAUGCUACGGUGAAUACGUUCCCGGGUCUUGUACUCACCGCCCGUCACACCAUGGGAGUUGAUUUCACUCGAAGCCGGAAUACUAA
rnacentral:rRNA from 1 species